rnacentral:tRNA from 1 species
GCCUUUGGGGUGUAAUGAUCAGAACACUCGGUGCGUAUUCGAGAAAUCCUAGGUUCGAGUCCCGGCGAAGGCA